GAUACAUCAUACAUUGUGAGUCUUAAAUACGAUCGCAUAGACGCGUCAAUUCCCAUUAAUGACCAGAAUGGCACAAGAAAAAUGAAUAUGUACAUAAAUUCUUCAAAUGUCAAAUAUAGAAUAUUCAAUGUCAAAUAUUUCUAUAUGAACAAACAUUAAGAGCAAUUAGCGUAUACCUAUAUCAAGAGCAAAACAUGUUACAUCAUGCAUAUUUAUUUAAGAAACCUCUGUCUGCAGAUAACUUCAAUCUGAUGAUUCCUACCUGAGGCAACGGCAUAAUGAAAUCUUCUCUAUUUAUUUUUCUAAUUCUUCUUAAUGGAGCAACCUCGGCCAAUUGGGAGAGUUGCGAGACGGUAGCACAAAAAAAUUUGCGAGACCCAAUUAAAAUUGCAUAUGGAAGAAAACGACUGCGGGAGCUACAAACCCUUAUUGUAAUGUUUGACACCUAGAAUCGACCCGGAUUGUUAUCAAAUAUUUAAAGACUAUCACUCGUGUAAUACCGUUGGCAGUCGACACGAGGUGGCUAUGUACACACCAGUAAUUCUUUCUGCACUUGUUAUUACCUCAUUAAUAUAGAUGCAUGGUUGCAACGAUAACUUGCAUGCAUUAUUAACUAACUCUUUUCGAUGAUUCGGUGUUGCAUCUUUGCAAUGCAUCAAUGCUUGGAAUAAUUACACACCUGAAAUGUA